rnacentral:rRNA from 1 species
UACGUAGGGUGCAAGCGUUGUCCGGAAUUAUUGGGCGUAAAGAGCUCGUAGGCGGUUUGUCGCGUCGGCUGUGAAAACCUGGGGCUCAACCCCAGGCCUGCAGCCGAUACGGGCAAACUAGAAUUCGGUAGGGGAGACUGGAAUUCCUGGUGUAGCGGUGAAAUGCGCAGAUAUCAGGAGGAACACCGAUGGCGAAGGCAGCUCGCUGGAACGGUACUGACGCUGAGGCGCGAAAGCGUGGGGAGCGAACAGG